GGGGAAUAUUGGACAAUGGGCGAAAGCCUGAUCCAGCGACGCCGCGUGAGCGAUGAAGUAUUUCGGUAUGUAAAGCUCUAUCAGCAGGGAAGAAAACGACGGUACCUGACUAAGAAGCCCCGGCUAACUACGUGCCAGCAGCCGCGGUAAUACGUAGGGAGCAAGCGUUAUCCGGAUUUAUUGGGUGUAAAGGGUGCGUAGACGGGAAAUUAAGUUAGUUGUGAAAUCCCUCGGCUCAACUGAGGAACUGCAACUAAAACUGAUUUUCUUGAGUACUGGAGAGGAAAGUGGAAUUCCUAGUGUAGCGGUGAAAUGCGUAGAUAUUAGGAGGAACACCAGUGGCGAAGGCGACUUGCUGGGCCAUCACUGACGCUGAGGCACGAAAGCGUGGGGAGCAAAUAGGAUUAGAUACCCUAGUAGUCCACGCCGUAAACGAUGAAUACUAAGUAUCGGAAUUUUCGGUGCUGAAGUUAACGCAUUAAGUAUUCCACCUGAGUAGUACGGUCGCAAGGCUGAAACUUAAAGGAAUUGACGGGCACCCGCACAAACGGUGGAGCAUGCUGUUUAAUUCGAAGAUACGCGAAGAACCUUACCUAGGCUUGACAUCCCACUGACCGUCUUGGAAACAAGAUUUUCCCUUCGGGGACAGUAGUGACAGGUGGUGCAUGGUUGUCGUCAGCUCGUGUCGUGAGAUGUUCGGUUAAGUCCGACAACGAGCGCAACCCUCGCCCUUAAUUGCUAACAUUUAGUUGAGAACCUUAAGGGGACUGCCGGUGAUAAACCGGAGGAAGGUGGGGAUGACGUCAAAUCAUCAUGCCCCUUACGUCUUGGGCUACACACGUGCUACAAUGGCUACUACAAAGGGCAGCGAAGCCGCGAGGCAGAGCGAAUCUCAAAAAAGUAGUCUCAGUUCGGACUGUGGGCUGCAACCCGCCCACACGAAGUCGGAGUUGCUAGUAAUCCCGAAUCAGCAUGUCGCGGUGAAUACGUUCCC
rnacentral:rRNA from 1 species